rnacentral:rRNA from 1 species
GAUGAACGCUGGCGGCGUGCUUAACACAUGCAAGUCGAGCGAAGCACUUUGAAUUUUUCGGAAUGAGAAGUGACUGAGCGGCGGACGGGUGAGUAACGCGUGGGUAACCUGCCUCAUACAGGGGGACAACAGUUAGAAAUGACUGCUAAUACCGCAUAAGCGCACGUCAUCGCAUGAUGGUGUGUGAAAAACUCCGGUGGUAUGAGAUGGACCCGCGUCUGAUUAGCUAGUUGGUGGGGUAACGGCCUACCAAGGCGACGAUCAGUAGCCGGCCUGAGAGGGUGAACGGCCACAUUGGGACUGAGACACGGCCCAA